AGAAGUCUGCGGUGUUCGUGCUGUAAAACUUUUGCUACCUGAUAUUUCUAGAAAGGAGUUGGUCCCUGAAGGGGGUGUGCCUGCCUUCCAUUGAGAAGGACGCCUGAACCUUUCAUCACAUUUCUCCACCUUGCUUGGCAAAGGUAACAAAAGCCCUUUUUUACACACGGCAUUGCGGGCUUCUU
rnacentral:other from 1 species